CAGGACAGCAGAAAUUGGAGUAUGCUUCACGUCCACGGCAAAAAUGACGCACGUCUUGGACACGCGCAAAUGUGACGCAGGACCAUGCCAGAGCCUUUAAUCAGGCACAGUAGGCCUAUUUAGGGUGGGCUCUUGGAAUCCUUCAGUGCAGAGUUAUCUUGCGGCGGCGGCCGGCGGCCGGCGCUCGGCGCUUUCCGCUUUCCCUGUGGAAUUACUUUUUGACCUUGUUGGACUGAACUUUGUUACUACUGAACUUUGGACUGUUUUCUGACCACGAUUUUGGAUUACUGUUUUUGGAUUGUUUGCCCUGGACCUAUUGUUGACUCAUUGACUUUCAUUUUUGGUCUGCCAUUGCCUGCUGUUUUUCUUGAAGUGGUUCUUGUUUCCACUGAACCUGUUACCAUUUUUUGCUUGUGUCCUACUUCUGGGUCCAACCAGCACCUCUGCCCUAAUGGCCGUAACAUUGGAAAAUAAUGCCUUAAAAAGAACAUUGAUAAAACAUAGUAACGAUCCGAGCUUAGAAGCAUGAAACAAACUCGUAGAAUCCAGCUGUCACAAGCACCUUCUGAACUCAAAGGAAACACUUGAUAAAAUAUAUUUGCGGUUUAUAAAGGAGCUUUGCUAUAAAGGAGCACACUGCCAUUAUGGAUAUUUCAUGUAAUGCCGUACUUUCACUGGCCGGUGACUUAGAUGGCGCUUAGGUGGAGUAGGCCUAUGGCAUGGCAUUAAACAGACUGGUUAAAAUCCGAAGUGAGCUAGCCUACGAGAAGCAAACAUAGAAGAUAAUUUCCUAGCAGUUUUCUCCCCAACAUUUUUGUAGGCUAGGCUACUAGUUCUUCACUGAUCUGAGCUAAAUGAGUGAAUUGAAGUGUAUAUAGUCCAGAAAAUACGGUACAUCAGAAUGAAAUUACCAUAGACUGUUAAAAAAUAUGGACAAAGCGUCUGUGACGUCACCCAUAGAUUUUCUGAAGAACGGUUAUGAAGCCGUUUAUGGGGGGUAUGGGCGGCGCCAUCUUGGAAAACCUUGGGAAAUCCUAACCCCGCCCACCUCCUGAGCAAGCCGGUGAACCCGCCUCGUCGUCAGCCGAGCAGCCUCAGCUAAGCUAUCUGUAAUGUUAGGCCUACAAGAUGGACUGUCACAGACGUUGCUGUAACAUAAUUUGCUGUUCGCCAUGGGGAGGAGGCGGCAAGGAGGUCCAUGGGCUCUAACCUGGGACUAGAGGUCCAGGUGAAGUGGUUUGGCUGGGGUGUGGUAUUGAACCCAUUGAGACUAUACAGUACAUUUCACUUUAUGUCUAUUGAUGGACUGUUACACCUACCCUUUACUUAUGCCAAACCCAUUUCUGUUCUUUAAAUAUCAGAACGCAAACUUACUGUUGAUGGCACUGAACUUGCACUUGGAAAUGUUUAUGGAACUUUUCUGAACUGUGAAUUACAUUAAAACUCAUGCCAAACCAA